rnacentral:lncRNA from 1 species
ACAUAACACUGAUAGACGAUCUGUGGCUCCUUUGGGUACAUGGGCAUGGGGUCAAAAAAGUGAUGCUGAUGGAUCACAAUUUGUUCUUUUGGCUCUGGUGGAGUUGUCUUUGGUGGCUCUUGCUUUACCUUAUCUUCUUUUUUCCCAGGGUCUACUUUACCUUGCUCAGAUUCAGUUUUCUUUGGGGCUUCUUUAGUUGACUCUGUCUCUGCCUUUUUCAGGGCUUCAUUAGCUGGCUCGGGCUCGGCCUUCUUUGUGGGUUCUGGUUGUUUGUUAGAUUGUGGCUCUGGCUUCUUUUCUUUGACUGGAUUCACUUUA